CAAGAAAUAACCUUGGGCUGCUGGAGGUGGAUCCUUGGGAAGUGUCAUUUAUGGACGGGGCGGGGGGCACAGGCGGAUUAGGGCUCUGUGAACAGACUCCUUUGUCUGCAGAAACGAGUGCUGAUAAUGGAGAUAGUCCCCUCCCUCCUGGGUGUGUGUGUAAGCACCACUGAUGUGUUUGCACUGCCUGCUCCCUCCUGGAAACAGACCCAGUCCAGCAAGUGUGUCCUGGCACUGCCAGCCUUGGCUUCCCCACUGCCCCUCACCUGCACCUCCUGCCACCUCUGCCACCUCCUGCCACCUCCUGCCACCUCUGCCACCUCCUGCCACCUCCUGCCACCUCCUGCCACCUCCCUGCCACAUCCCUGCCACAUCCCUGCCAUCUCCCUGCCACCUCCUGCCACCCCCUGCCACAUCCCUGCCACCUCCUGCCACUUCCCCUGCCACCUCCCUGCCACCUCUGCCACCUCCCUGCCACCUCCCCUGCCACCUCCUGCCACCCCUGCCACCUCCCUGCCACAUCCCUGCCAUCUCCCUGCCACCUCUGCCACUUCCCUGCCACCUCCCCUGCCACCUCCCUGCCACCUCCCUGCCACCUCCCUGCCACCUCCUGCCACCCCUGCCACCUCCCUGCCACCUCCUGCCACCUCCCUGCCACCUCCCUGCCAUCCCCCUGCCACCCCUGCCACCUCCCUGCCACAUCCCUGCCAUCUCCCUGCCACCUCCUGCCACCCCCUGCCAUCUCCCUGCCACCUCCCUGCCACCUCCCUGCCACCUCCUGCCACCUCCUGCCACCCCCUGCCACCUCCUGCCACCUCCUGCCACUUCCCUGCCAUCUCCUGCCAUCUCCCUGCCACCUCCUGCCACCUCCUGCCACUUCCCUGCCAUCUCCUGCCAUCUCCCUGCCAUCCCCCUGCCACCUCCUGCCACCUCCCUGCCCCCUCCCCUGCCACCUCCCUGCCCCCUCCCUGCCUCUGUGACUCAGGAACCAUUUUUGCAAAUCCCAGCAGCACGAGGGAGGAGAAAACCCCAGGGCCCGCAGCCGUUCAUUCCUACAGCUGUCACUGAGCAUGCAGUGUCAAACACACCUGCCACGAGUCACCCUGGAAAGCUUCCCAUUCACAUUUAUUCACA
rnacentral:lncRNA from 1 species